GGAUGGAUGUCCGAGUGGCCGAAGGAGCACGAUUGGAAAUCGUGUAGACGGGGAUGACUCGUCUCGUGGGUUCAAAUCCCACUCCAUCCG
rfam:Brevibacillus borstelensis AK1 seq_num_001, whole genome shotgun sequence.